rnacentral:rRNA from 1 species
UGGGGAAUAUUGCACAAUGGGCGAAAGCCUGAUGCAGCGACGCCGCGUGAGGGAUGACGGCCUUCGGGUUGUAAACCUCUUUCAGUAGGGACGAAGCGCAAGUGACGGUACCUGCAGAAGAAGCACCGGCUAACUACGUGCCAGCAGCCGCGGUAAUACGUAGGGUGCAAGCGUUGUCCGGAAUUACUGGGCGUAAAGAGUUCGUAGGCGGUUUGUCGCGUCGUUUGUGAAAACCAGCAGCUCAACUGCUGGCUUGCAGGCGAUACGGGCAGACUUGAGUACUGCAGGGGAGACUGGAAUUCCUGGUGUAGCGGUGAAAUGAGCAGAUAUCAGGAGGAACACCGGUGGCGAAGGCGGGUCUCUGGGCAGUAACUGACGCUGAGGAACGAAAGCGUGGGUAGCGAACAGG